CAUGAGUGACUGGUGCCUCCUGAAUCUGGGGGGGCAACCGCAGAAGCCACUGACAGUGGCAGCCCUGUCAGGAGGGGGGCACCAACCCUACCAACAGCAUCAGUCCUUGGGGGGGCACAUGCA